CAUCAUUCCGGUUUACGGUCGUUACGAUACGUAGGAGUAUCUGACCGUUGGAGGGUCGAGCACGUCUUGCGGGCUCUUCGUGGUAUACUUGCUCGGGUCGUAUUUGUUCGACACCCUCUGAGGCUCGAGCGUGAUGCUCGGUCCAGAACAAAAGAGAAAUAAAAAAAUAUAAUAAAAGUUUAGUAAAAAAGAAUGACCUUUAAUGAUCGUCAAAAUUUUCAUGUGAGAUUUUCACUAUAAUUGAGUGAUCAAUUGAAUGAGCUAAUAAGACAUACCCAACACAUUGAAAUAUGGAAGAGAUACUUAAUAAUUCUUGAUUUAUAAAUGAUUUGUUGCUAUUAAAAAUUACUAAAUUAAAGUUAACGAUGCAUAGAUUUUUACUUAUAAAGUGAUAUGCCAAUUUCCCAUUUAUCAUAUGAAAAGAGAAUAAAAGACAUGGCUAAAAUUGUAAAUUUUGUUCAAGCUUUGAUCAUCUUUCUUUCUCUAAUUGUUCUUGCAAUUGCAACUAGAGACCAUCGUCUGUUCUGUUCUACUAACAAUGAUUGUCAACACAAUAAAUGUAGUGCUAAUUUUGUUCCGAAGUGCAUUUGGAUUAUUUGUGGCUGCCAACCUUUGAAAAAGUAAAGUUAAAAUAUAAAUCUAUGCUAUGCUCAAAGCUUAUUAUUUUCUUGUAAGUUAUGAUGAUAUUGGUAAUUGAAGAAUAAAUUAAAUAAAUACUAUAUAGUAUUAUUACCUCGGUACUGUUUAAGUUAGACAUGUAAAAAAUUAAUGUUAUACACAAUAUAUUUAAUCCUUUUAA